rnacentral:rRNA from 1 species
UACGCAGGACCCGAGCGUUAUCCGGAUUUAUUGGGUUUAAAGGGUGCGUAGGCGGAUUAUUAAGUCAGUGGUGAAAGCCUUCAGCUUAACUGAAGAACUGCCAUUGAUACUGAUGAUCUUGAGUAUGAUUGAGGUGGGCGGAAUGUGUCAUGUAGCGGUGAAAUGCUUAGAUAUGACACAGAACACCGAUUGCGAAGGCAGCUCACUAAGCCAUAACUGACGCUGAUGCACGAAAGCGUGGGGAGCAAACAGG